rnacentral:rRNA from 1 species
GAUGAACGCUGGCGGCGUGCCUAAAACAUGCAAGUCGAGCGGCAGCGAGUUCCUCGCUAAUGUUCGGAUUUGUUUACCAAUGAUGCAAGUAAUUUAGUCAGAGUAACAAAGUAACGACUAGUUGUUUAAGUUAAAAGGUAGAUUUAAUAUUCCGGAUAUGAGCGAGGAAUGUCGGCGAGCGGCGGACGGCUGAGUAGCGCGUAGGAACAUACCCCAAAGUGAGGCAUAACCGCCCGAAAGGGUGGCUAAUACCGCAUAUUGUCUUCGGAUGAAAGCUUUUAGCGCUUUGGGAAUGGCCUGCGUUUGAUUAGCUAGUUGGUGAGGUAAGGGCUUACCAAGGCGAUGAUCAAUAGCUGGUUUGAGAGAAUGAUCAGCCAGACUGGAACUGAGACACGGUCCAGACUCCUACGGGAGGCAGCAGUUGGAAGUUUUCCACUAAUGGGCGAAAGCCUGAUGGAGCAACGCGCGUGCAGGAGAAGUGCCUUCGGUUGUAACU